rnacentral:rRNA from 1 species
GACCUCAGUUCAGGUGAGAUUACCGGCUGAAUUUAAGCAUAUUACUAAGCCGAGGAAAAGAAACUAACAAGGAUUCCCCUAGUAGCAGCGAGCGAACAGGGAAGAGCCCAGCGCUGAAUCCCCCGGGCCUCGCUCGGCGGGAAAUGUAGCGUUUGGGAGGGCCCGUCAACACGGCGACUCGCUCACUGGUUCAAGUCCAACUUGAAUGGGGCCACACAGAGGGUGACAGGCCCGUAGAGCAGGAGCGGUUGUCGUGUGGGUCUCUCCUUAGAGUCGGUUUGCUUGAGAGUGCAGACUUAAGUGGGUGGUAAACUCCAUCUAAGGCUAAAUAUGACCACGAGACCGAUAGCACACAAGUACCGUGAGGGAAAGGUGAAAAGAACUUUGAAGAGAGAGUUCAAGAGUACGUGAAACUGAAGUGGUGUAAACGGACGAGUUCGAAAAGUCCGAAUGGUGAGAUUCAAGCUUACCGUGCCGGUGGCCCUCGGGUUCAGAUGGCGUCGUCAGCUCGGGCUUCGGUUCGGGUCAUACGGCGUCACUCGUCCUGGGGGUAUCUGUCUGGUGCGGUGGGCUGCACUUCUCGCCUAGUAGGACGUCGCGACCCGUUGGGAUGUUCCGUUCACUGGCCCCUGGUGGAGCCCGCGCCGGAGCGUGGCCUUGUGCCGCGUUGCUGUUUGCACGGACCCGGGGUGACCUGAUCGGCGCCCGACGGUAUCAAAGCUUGGGAAGAGGCCGCACAGAGGAUGCGUUCGAUGGCCGUUUCGGCCUACACUCGGACAGGCCUGCACCCGGUCAGCGGC